AGUGAACGCUGGCGGUAGGCCUAACACAUGCAAGUCGAACGGCAGCACAGUAAGAGCUUGCUCUUACGGGUGGCGAGUGGCGGACGGGUGAGGAAUACAUCGGAAUCUACUUUUUCGUGGGGGAUAGCGUAGGGAAACUUACGCUAAUACCGCAUACGACCUACGGGUGAAAGCAGGGGAUCUUCGGACCUUGCGCGAUUGAAUGAGCCGAUGUCGGAUUAGCUAGUUGGCGGGGUAAAGGCCCACCAAGGCGACGAUCCGUAGCUGGUCUGAGAGGAUGAUCAGCCACACUGGAACUGAGACACGGUCCAGACUCCUACGGGAGGCAGCAGUGGGGAAUAUUGGACAAUGGGCGCAAGCCUGAUCCAGCCAUACCGCGUGGGUGAAGAAGGCUUUCGGGUUGUAAAGCCCUUUUGUUGGGAAAGAAAAGCAGCAGGUUAAUACCCCGCUGUUCUGACGGUACCCAAAGAAUAAGCACCGGCUAACUUCGUG
rnacentral:rRNA from 1 species